CCUGGACAAGGGAAGUAUGAUGAGUGAUUGCAGUGCCUUGAUUUGCAGCAUGAAAGAGAGCUUGAGAUGCAGAGAAAUUGGGAACUUUGUAGAAGUUGCAGAAUGAAACAGAGUGGAGCUUGAAGUGAAGAAGUUCAUAAUGAAGCAGAGUGAAGCUUGAGGUGAAGAAUCUCUGCAGAAUGAAGAUUGUGAAAUGUUAUAUAAAGGAUGAGUGUGUAACCAACUCCGGAAGGCUUUGGGAAAUUCUGUUAGAGGUGUUAGGUCAGUUAGAAAUCACAUGGUAUUUCUAUGGAAGGAAAAGCAACUUGGCCUAGAGGGAAAUGGUGACAUGAAGCAUGAAGAUGGUGGAUGAAGAAGUAUGGUUGAAGGUGUUAACAUGGUUUAAAGCAAUCCUCAAGGCAUGGCAAGUUUCACACAAAAAUGAGGUUUCUCAUUCAUGAAGUCAAUGAUCAUGGAAUGCAAGGAUGAUAAAGAUGUAAUGAGUUUUUGGGGAUGGAAAAUAUGUUAGCCGAUUUUGGUCAACUGGUUGACUAAAAAGUCAACAGUUGACCAAAAGUCAACUUUCAUAAAACUUGUAUUUUUUUUAUUUUCUUUUGUAAAUGAUGUAAAUGCUAAUUGUAUGAAUGAAUGAACAUUGAUUUUA